UUUAAAAUGAGAGUUUGAUCCUGGCUCAGGACGAACGCUGGCGGCGUGCCUAAUACAUGCAAGUCGAGCGAGCGGAACUAACAGAUUUACUUCGGUAAUGACGUUAGGAAAGCGAGCGGCGGAUGGGUGAGUAACACGUGGGGAACCUGCCCCAUAGUCUGGGAUACCACUUGGAAACAGGUGCUAAUACCGGAUAAGAAAGCAGAUCGCAUGAUCAGCUUUUAAAAGGCGGCGUAAGCUGUCGCUAUGGGAUGGCCCCGCGGUGCAUUAGCUAGUUGGUAAGGUAAAGGCUUACCAAGGCGAUGAUGCAUAGCCGAGUUGAGAGACUGAUCGGCCACAUUGGGACUGAGACACGGCCCAAACUCCUACGGGAGGCAGCAGUAGGGAAUCUUCCACAAUGGACGCAAGUCUGAUGGAGCAACGCCGCGUGAGUGAAGAAGGUUUUCGGAUCGUAAAGCUCUGUUGUUGGUGAAGAAGGAUAGAGGUAGUAACUGGCCUUUAUUUGACGGUAAUCAACCAGAAAGUCACGGCUAACUACGUGCCAGCAGCCGCGGUAAUACGUAGGUGGCAAGCGUUGUCCGGAUUUAUUGGGCGUAAAGCGAGCGCAGGCGGAAGAAUAAGUCUGAUGUGAAAGCCCUCGGCUUAACCGAGGAACUGCAUCGGAAACUGUUUUUCUUGAGUGCAGAAGAGGAGAGUGGAACUCCAUGUGUAGCGGUGGAAUGCGUAGAUAUAUGGAAGAACACCAGUGGCGAAGGCGGCUCUCUGGUCUGCAACUGACGCUGAGGCUCGAAAGCAUGGGUAGCGAACAGGAUUAGAUACCCUGGUAGUCCAUGCCGUAAACGAUGAGUGCUAAGUGUUGGGAGGUUUCCGCCUCUCAGUGCUGCAGCUAACGCAUUAAGCACUCCGCCUGGGGAGUACGACCGCAAGGUUGAAACUCAAAGGAAUUGACGGGGGCCCGCACAAGCGGUGGAGCAUGUGGUUUAAUUCGAAGCAACGCGAAGAACCUUACCAGGUCUUGACAUCUAGUGCCAUUUGUAGAGAUACAAAGUUCCCUUCGGGGACGCUAAGACAGGUGGUGCAUGGCUGUCGUCAGCUCGUGUCGUGAGAUGUUGGGUUAAGUCCCGCAACGAGCGCAACCCUUGUUAUUAGUUGCCAGCAUUAAGUUGGGCACUCUAAUGAGACUGCCGGUGACAAACCGGAGGAAGGUGGGGAUGACGUCAAGUCAUCAUGCCCCUUAUGACCUGGGCUACACACGUGCUACAAUGGGCAGUACAACGAGAAGCGAGCCUGCGAAGGCAAGCGAAUCUCUGAAAGCUGUUCUCAGUUCGGACUGCAGUCUGCAACUCGACUGCACGAAGCUGGAAUCGCUAGUAAUCGCGGAUCAGCACGCCGCGGUGAAUACGUUCCCGGGCCUUGUACACACCGCCCGUCACACCAUGGGAGUCUGCAAUGCCCAAAGCCGGUGGCCUAACCUUCGGGAAGGAGCCGUCUAAGGCAGGGCAGAUGACUGGGGUGAAGUCGUAACAAGGUAGCCGUAGGAGAACCUGCGGCUGGAUCACCUCCUUUCUAAGGAA
rnacentral:rRNA from 7 species